CUUCCGCCGAACUAGAGAAAGAAAUAAAAGAAGCAAAGGCGGCAAUGAAGAAAAGAGGGGUACCUGUAGUAGAAUAGAAUAACACAAUCGAAAGUGUAGCUCUAAAAAGAAGUUUUGACUCUCUCUUCUUUUUUUGUUAGUUUUGUUUCU
rnacentral:ribozyme from 16 species